ACAGCAUCAUUUUAUGCAAGGUGUAUCGAUCGAUACAGGGGCCAGUACAGUGUGUCUGAUAUCUACUCACUUAUCGGUUCGUUAUCAUUGAGUUUACGAAGAAACGGGAAAAUAAACAGUAAUUACUCGUAAUUAUUAUAGUUUAACACGGUUUGAACCGACGACGCAGCGGGAACUGUUUUUACAAUACUUCUGCGGCGUUAAGUUGAUUUAAGCAGUUAUCAAAUUCUUAAAUAAUGUUUUGUGUACCAUGUGUGCUUGGGCCAUUGUUGUUCUUCUUAUGGGCUAUUAUCAAGAUGACGAUGAACUGGUUCAGGAGGGCACCAGUUGAAAAUCCCGAAGACCAAAGUAGUGACGAUGAUCAAGUUUUUCCAUUGUUCCCAUCCUGCCCAUGCAUUAAUAAAAACAUUAAAUCACCCGAGAAUCAAGUAGAUGAAACCAACAAGAGUGAACAAUUACUCAAAGAACCACUUGAAACAUCUGAUACCGAAAAAAAGAAUAUUUAAAUGCACUAUUACAGUAAUUUAUUUUAUGAAUAUAAGAAUUAAUUUUUUCAUAGAUGUGAUUAAUUGAAUUAUUUUGUGGUUCUUUCUGUUAGUUUAAAUAAUCUUUUUAUUUUAAAGCUGUAGUAUGCAUUUGAUAUAAUGUUAUAUUCUAUAGUUUAGUGUCUUAUAUUAAUUUUUUGGAUCAUAAAUGCAAUAAGCUAUUGUAAUUUGGUAUCAAAAAUGAUUUUAUCUGGAUUUUAUUAACGUUUAUGGCGUUGUCAUUUUAUGUUUUAUUUUUAUUUUAUGUACAAUCAAUUCAUUAUUGUAUUAAUUAUUUGUUAUGUAUCUAUACAUAAAUAUUUUAUAAUUGCAAUAGUUUAUAUAUUUGUGAAUUAAUUUUACACUAUUGUAAUCAAUAAACUAUUAUUCACUAAGUAAUUAAUCACACAUCAUUUUUAAUAUGCAUUUAUAAAUUAUAUUAUUGGUAGAUAUAUAUUAUAUAUAAUAUGAAAAUAAAUUAGUAUAUUUCUAUGCUUGA